rnacentral:lncRNA from 12 species
AGGAUCCGCGGUGAGUUUUCAGGGGACGUGGGGCCAUGUCCAGGCUGAUAGGAGCCCCCGGGCACCUGAGGACUUUCUGUGAGUCUUCCAGAGGAUGUGAGGCAUAGUCCACAGUGACAGGAGACCCGCCGUCCUUAGGACCCGCUGACCAUGAAUCAGGAACACGUGGGGCCACGUCCGCACUCACAGGAGCCGUGCUUCCUCAGGCCCCCCUGGAGGACUCUGGAGGCGUUGUUGGGGGUCACGUCCACAUCAGAAGGGACUACUCAGAACCACAGGGGGCCUGGGAUGGAUGGACCUGUUCGAACCCUGAACUUAAAGAGGAAAGACCUUCAUUUUCUUGGCCUCCUUGCGUCCCCUCCCAUCCUAUCUAGCUCUUUCCCCCUUCCCCAGAGCUCCUAAGAGAGCAAUUGCAAAAGACCUCAGCUUGGCAGGGUCUGUUGGGGGACAGGCCCAGGGAUUUGGGAUCAGGAAGACCUGAGGCACGGGCUUCCCAGCUGUGCAGCGGGAUUCCAUGCUGCAGACUCUUAUUCCCUAAGGCUAUCUUCACAACUGACUUUAUACAUAGAAAAGCUCUCCUUUAUCUUUAAAAGAUGAAGAGCCAGUCAAAGCCUUUUUUCUCUGCCCAUCUGAUUGCUCAGAUUCCAAUGUGAGACGUAUUUCCUGUUAAUAAGGAUAAUUUACUAUCCGUAGUACUAUGGUUAAAAUAUUCUGACACAAGUAAUUCAGAGGGAUGAGAGUUUCUCAUCUCUUUCUUCACAGCUCAGUCACUCCUCAGGAAAUGCAUCGUUAUGGAUUUGGAAAUAACUGAGAGACAUUAUUACCAGUGGUCCUAUUAUUAUGUGAAGGAUGCUUCCCUGAGAUUCUUCCCCUGUUUCAACUGACACUGAAACACUUUGAACUCUUUGGAAGACAAAUGUCAAGGAAAUAAAUGUUAUGCGCUGCUAAUUUUAAAUGCA